rnacentral:rRNA from 1 species
GGGGGCGAUCAUACCAGCACUAAUGCACCGGAUCCCAUCAGAACUCCGCAGUUAAGCGUGCUUGGGCUAGAGUAGUACUAGGAUGGGUGACCUCCCGAGAAGUCCUCGUGUUGCAUCCC